rnacentral:rRNA from 1 species
UACGGGAGGCAGCAGUGGGGAAUAUUGCACAAUGGGCGCAAGCCUGAUGCAGCCAUGCCGCGUGUAUGAAGAAGGCCUUCGGGUUGUAAAGUACUUUCAGUCGUGAGGAAGGUGUUAAGGUUAAUAACCUUAGCAAUUGACGUUAGCGACAGAAGAAGCACCGGCUAACUCCGUGCCAGCAGCCGCGGUAAUACGGAGGGUGCGAGCGUUAAUCGGAAUUACUGGGCGUAAAGGGCACGCAGGCGGUUAAUUAAGUUGGAUGUGAAAUCCCCGGGCUUAACCUGGGAAUGGCAUUCAAGCUGGUUAGCUAGAGUCUUGUAGAGGGGGUAGAAUUCCAUGUGUAGCGGUGAAAUGCGUAGAGAUGUGGAGGAAUACCGGUGGCGAAGGCGGCCCCUGGGACAAAGGCUGACGCUCAUGUGCGAAAGCGUGGGGAGCGAAACAGGGAUUAGAUACC